GAUGUUUGGAACUACAAUUCCCAUCAUCCCUGACCACUGGGGUCAGGGAUGAUGGGAAUUGUAGUUCCAAACAUC